GAUUCUGGCUCAGGAUGAACGCUAGCUACAGGCUUAACACAUGCAAGUCGAGGGGCAGCGGGAUUGAAGCUUGCUUCAAUUGCCGGCGACCGGCGCACGGGUAAGUAACGCGUAUCCAACCCUCCGUACACUCAGGGAUAGCCUUUCGAAAGAAAGAUUAAUACCUGAUGGUAUCUUAAGCACACAUGUAAUUAAGAUUAAAGAUUUAUCGGUGUACGAUGGGGAUGCGUUCCAUUAGGUAGUAGG
rnacentral:rRNA from 1 species